rnacentral:sRNA from 1 species
GAUCACUUGAGCCCAGGAGUUUGAGACCAGUCUGGGCUAUGUAGGGAGACCUCGUUUCUACAGAAAAAAAUUUUUUAAUUAGCUGGGCAAGGUGGUGUACGCCUGUAGUCCCAGCUACUCAAGAGGCUGAGAUGGGAGGAUUUGCUUGUGCCUGCGAGUUUGAGGCUGCAGUGAGCCAUGAUGGCGCCACUGUACUCCAGCCUGGGUGACAGAGUGAGACUGUGUCUCAAAGAAAAAAUGGCUAGGCGCUGUGGCUCACGUCUGUAAUCCCAGCACUUUGGGAGGCUGAGGAAGUCCUUGUUCCUGAAGCCUCAGAAUUUGAUGAGUGGGAGCCUGAAGGCACAACCCUAGAAGGCCCUGUGACUGCCGUCAUCCCCACUUGGCAGGCAUUGACCACGCUUGACCUGAGCCACAACAGCAUCUCCGAGAUCGACGAGUCUGUGAAACUGAUCCCAAAGAUUGAGUUCCUGGACCUGAGUCACAAUGGAUUGCUGGUUGUGGACAAUCUGCAGCACCUGUAUAACCUUGUGCAUCUGGACCUGUCCUACAACAAGCUCUCCUCCUUGGAAGGGCUUCACACCAAGCUGGGGAACAUCAAGACCUUAAACCUGGCAGGCAACCUCCUAGAGAGUCUGAGUGGCCUGCACAAGCUCUACUCACUGGUCAACCUGGAUCUCCGGGACAACAGGAUCGAACAGAUGGAGGAGGUCCGGAGCAUAGGCAGCCUCCCGUGUCUGGAGCAUGUGUCUCUGCUGAACAACCCUCUGAGCAUCAUCCCCGACUACCGGACCAAGGUGCUGGCUCAGUUCGGAGAGAGGGCCUCAGAGGUGAGC